AGCCUGUGGAAAAGGGCAAAAAUGCAAAGAAAGAACCUGCAAUCUCCAAAGAAAAAGUCAAGACAAGCACUACCAAGACAACCACAAGCACUUCCAAGAAAGUUGUUUCAGAACCUGAGCCCCUAAAAGAGAAAGCCACUCCAAGAGUCCCCACUAUGAGGAAAGGGAACCACACAAAUGUAGUGGUGCCAAUGGUAAAAGCCAUGGCUAGAGUUGUCGCUAUAAGACCCAUCCCUACACCAAAAGUGACGGAGGAGAAGCUAUCCAAAGAACCUGAGACAGAGGUUGUUGUUUCCAAAGAUAAAGCUAAAACAACAGCUGCCAAGAAAGAGCCUGUGGAAAAGGGCAAAAUAACUCCUACAAAGAAAGAGCCUGCAAUCUCCAAAGAAAAAGCCAAGACAAGCACUACCAAGACGACCACAAGCACUUCCAAGAAAGAAGCUGUGGUCUCCAAAGAAAAGACAAAACCUAUCACAAUGAAGAAAGAGGUUGUUGUUUCCAAAGAUAAAGCUAAAACAACAGCUGCCAAGAAAGAGCCUGUGGAAAAGGGCAAAAUAACUCCUACGAAGAAAGAGCCUGCAAUCUCCAAAGAAAAAGUCAAGACAAGCACUACCAAGACAACCACAAGCACUUCCAAGAAAGUUGUUUCAGAACCUGAGCCCCUAAAAGAGAAAGCCACUCUGAGAGUCCCCACUAUGAGGAAAGGGAACCACACAAAUGUAGUGGUGCCAAUGGUAAAAGCCAUGGCUAGAGUUGUCGCUAUAAGACCCAUCCCUACAACAAAAGUGACGGAGGAGAAGCUAUCCAAAGAACCUGAGACAGAGAAACCAAAAGCGGCAGAGAAAAAAGAGGUUGUUGUUUCCAAAGAUAAAGCUAAAACAACAGCUGCCAAGAAAGAGCCUGUGGCAAAGGACAAAUUAACUCCUACGAAGAAAGAGCCUGCAAUCUACAAAGAAAAAGUCAAGACAAGCACUACCAAGACAACCACAAGCACUUCCAAGAAAGUUGUUUCAGAACCUGAGCCCCUAAAAGAGAAAGCCACUCCAAGAGUCCCCACUAUGAGGAAAGGGAACCACACAAAUGUAGUGGUGCCAAUGGUAAAAGCCAUGGCUAGAGUUGUCGCUAUAAGACCCAUCCCUACACCAAAAGUGACGGAGGAGAAGCUAUCCAAAGAACCUGAGACAGAGAAACCAAAAGCGGCAGAGAAAAAAGAUGAUGUUGUUUCCAAAGAUAAAGCUAAAACAACAGCUGCCAAGAAAGGGCCUGUGGAAAAGGACCAAAUAACUCCUACAAAGAAAGAGCCUGCAAUCUCCAAAGAAAAAGCCAAGACAAGCACUACCAAGACAACCACAAGCACUUCCAAAAAAGAGCCUGUGGGAAAGGGCAAAAUAACUCCUACGAAGAAAGAGCCUGCAAUCUCCAAAGAAAAAGUGAAGACAAACACUACCAAGACAACCACAAGCACUUCCAAGAAAGUUGUUUCAGAACCUGAGCCCCUAAAAGAGAAAGCCACUCCGAGAGUCCCCACUAUGAGGAAAGGGAACCACACAAAUGUAGUGGUGCCAAUGGUAAAAGCCAUGGCUAGAGUUGUCGCUAUGAGACCCAUCCCUACAACCAAAGUGACGGAGGAGAAGCUAUCCAAAGAACCUGAGACAGAAGACAAGGUAAAGGAUGUGAAGACAUCAGAUGCCAAAGCUGAAACCACACUCUCUGUGAAGACAGCCCAGCCCACUCAACCACAUAAAGCUGAGAAGACUGAGAAGAAAGCUGUGAAGGAGGCUAAAGAGAAAGAAGUGAAGCCUCCUGGUAUAGCAAAAGAAUCUCAGACUGACGAUAAUGCCAUGGACAAGAAGAAGCCAGGUCAGAAAGUAUUGCAGUGUGUUUUAAUGGUUGGAAAGAAUGCCCACUACCCUUUGCGACCUUCCACCCCUGGUAUGACCCCUGUGUCGAUGAGCCCAGCCAUGCGGUCCAUGAUGUUGCAGCAGGCGCAGCAGCAGAAAGCCAGAGCGGCGGGGCAGUAG
rnacentral:lncRNA from 13 species